rnacentral:rRNA from 1 species
UUGGUCCUACGGGAGGCAGCAGUAGGGAAUUUUCGUCAAUGGGCGCAAGCCUGAACGAGCGAUGCCGCGUGAGUGAAGAAGGCCUUCGGGUCGUAAAGCUCUGUUGCGGGGGAAAAAAGGCAGCAUCAGGAAAUGGGUGCUGACUGAUGGUGCCCCGCCAGAAAGUCACGGCUAACUACGUGCCAGCAGCCGCGGUAAUACGUAGGUGGCGAGCGUUGUCCGGAUUUAUUGGGCGUAAAGCGAGUGCAGGCGGUUCCAUAAGUCUGAUGU